GGGAAUCUUUAUCUCAGAUGUAUGAUGUUGAAAUUCCCAAUUAUGCAUGGCAAUACUUGUCUGAGUUAUUGCAGAAGAUUUCAGACAUAUUUCAAGAACCACAGAGUUUACCUCCGCAGAGGUCUCAUGAUCACAGAAUACCAUUGAAGCCUCGGUCUCAUCCAAUCAAUACCAGACCUUACAGAUAUGCUGCUGAGCAAAAGACAGUCAUUGAGGAGAUGGUGAAAGACAUGUUGCGGUCUGGUGAUAUUCAAAAUAGUUGCAAUCUCUAUGCAAGUCCAGUUGUCUUGGUCAAUAAAAAG
rnacentral:misc_RNA from 1 species